GUGAAUCUUGGUCGAGUUGAAGUCCUUUGGAGGCCAGUUACAAAUCAUCUCCUGGAUGUCUGCCAGCAUCCCCAUGUGCGGAUGCGAGAGUGGGGUGUUGAAGCUGUAACAUACUUGGUGAAGGCAGCUCUUACACACAAGCAUAAUCCUCCUCUGAAAGACAAUCAGAAACUGCAAACACUGUUAUUGUCACCACUGUCUGAAGUGUCGCUUGUUGGGCAUCCAGAUGUUCGUCAGAAGCAGCUUGAGUCGCUCUUGCAAAUAUUUUACAUUCUUGUGGUGAACUUUUACAUCAUGGCUGGCCUCUAAUACUUAACAUUAUUGGGGCUAUUAAUGACAAUCAUAGUGAACAUCUAGUUCGACUUGCAUUCCAGUGUCUACAGUUAGUAGUGACAGACUUUUUACCCCUAAUGCCUUGGGCUUGUUUGCCACUGACUGUAGAUACAGCAGCUAAAUUUGGUUCCCAGACACAAGAGCUUAAUAUUUCACUCACUGCUAUUGGUCUUAUGUGGAAUAUUUCAGAUUACUUUUACCAAAAUCAAGAAAAACUGCGUGCUUCGUUGACGUCAGAUAAUCAAGUCUUUCCUGAUUUUCCUGGUGUACCAAAUAUGCCUCCAUUUGAUAAGUUAUG